GUGCAGCAGGCGCGAAAACUUUACAAUGCGGGAAACCGCGAUAAGGGGACACCGAGUGCCAGCAUAUUGUGUUGGCUGUCCACAUGUGUAAACGGCAUGUGUUAGCAAGGGCCGGGCAAGACCGGUGCCAGCCGCCGCGGUAACACCGGCGGCCCGAGUGGUAAUCACUUUUAUUGGGUCUAAAGGGUCCGUAGCCGGUUUGAUCAGUUCUUCGGGAAAUCUGACAGCUCAACUGUUAGGCUUCCGGGGAAUACUGUCAGACUUGGGACCGGGAGAGGUAAGAGGUACUACAGGGGUAGGAGUGAAAUCUUGUAAUCCCUGUGGGACCACCAGUGGCGAAGGCGUCUUACCAGAACGGGUCCGACGGUGAGGGACGAAAGCUGGGGGCACGAACCGGAUUAGAUACCGCGUAGU
rnacentral:rRNA from 1 species